AAGAAGUUUUAUUCUUGCUUUGUCGUUCAGUUUUUGUUUGUUUUAUAUGUAAGUUUGUGCGUGGUUUAGUGUGGUGUUUCUAGAUGGGGCACGACUGUUUGUUGUCUUUGUUUUAAUUCUCAUUAGUUGUUAUUGGUUGGUCAAGUAUUUUUGUAUUUAGCAAUUCAUUUUAGUUUCGGUUAAAUUUUGUGCCAGCAACCGCGGUUAUACCUUGGAGGCGUCUGAAUGUGUUCGGCAUUUGUAGUUUUAUGUUUAUUUGUUUGACUUUAAGUAUUGUGGUUUUGUAGGUGAAAUUUUUAUUGUUGUUUUAUUGUCAUGGUCUCUGUUUGUAGGCUAUUAAAUUCUUUUUUUAGACUAGGAUUAGAUACCCUAUUAUUUUGGAACGUUAAUUUUGUUUUGUCUGAGUAGUAUUAGUUAUGUUCUUGAAACUUAAAGAAUUUGGCGGUAUCUUAUUCCAUCCAGAGGAAUCUGUCCCGUUAUCGAUAGCCCGCGUUGGACCUUACUUGGAUUGCUUUGGUUUGUAUACCGCCGUUUAUUUGAUUAUCUUUUUAGGGUUUAUAUAAUUUUCUGGUUUCUUUAUUUUGAUUUAUUUCAGGUCAAGGUGCAGCUUGUUUCUAAGUGGAUGAUGGAUUACAUUGUUAUUUGUUUUAUUGGAUUGUUGAUUUUUAUAUUGAUAUGAAAUUGGAUUUGGUUGUAAUGUUUUGUAGAUUGUUUUCAUGAUAAUUGGUUCUGAGAUAUGUACACAUCGCCCGUCGCUCUCGUUAAUUUGAUGAGAUAAGUCGUAACAAAGUGGUUGUACCGGAAGGUGCAGCUGGAUUGAU
rnacentral:ncRNA from 1 species